rnacentral:rRNA from 1 species
UAGGGAAUCUUCCGCAAUGGACGAAAGUCUGACGGAGCAACGCCGCGUGAGUGAAGAAGGAUUUCGGUUCGUAAAACUCUGUUGUUAGGGAAGAAAAAAUGUAUAGUAACUAUAUACAAAAGAGACGGUACCUAACCAGAAAGCCACGGCUAACUACGUGCCAGCAGCCGCGGUAAUACGUAGGUGGCAAGCGUUGUCCGGAAUUAUUGGGCGUAAAGCGCGCGCAGGUGGUUUAGAAAGUCUGAUGUGAAAGCCCACGGCUCAACCGUGGAGGGUCAUUGGAAACUAAUAAACUUGAGUGCAGGAGAGAAGAGUGGAAUUCCUAGUGUAGCGGUGAAAUGCGUAGAGAUUAGGAGGAACACCGGUGGCGAAAGCGGCUUUUUGGCCUGCAACUGACACUGAGGCGCGAAAGCGUGGGGAGCAAACGGG